GUUAAAAAGCUCGUAGUUGGAUUUCGGAGUGGGCCAGUUGGUCCGCCGCAAGGUGUGUUACUGACUGGUUUGCUCUUCUUCGCAAAGACUGCGUGUGCUCUUCAGUGAGUGUGCGUAGGAUUUACGACGUUUACUUUGAAAAAAUUAGAGUGUUCAAAGCAGGCUAUUGCUUGAAUACAUGAGCAUGGAAUAAUGGAAUAGGACUUUGGUCCCAUUUUGUUGGUUUCUAGGGCCGAAGUAAUGAUUAAGAGGGACAAUUGGGGGCAUCCGUAUUUCGUUGUCAGAGGUGAAAUUCUUGGAUUUACGAAAGACGAACAACUGCGAAAGCACUUGCCAAGAGUGUUUUCAUUAAUCAAGAACGAAAGUUAGAGGAUCGAAGACGAUCAGAUACCGUCCUAGUUCUAACCAUAAACGAUGUCGACUAGGGAUCAGCGGGCGUUAUCGUACGACCCCGUUGGCACCUUACGGGAAACCAAAGUUUCUGGAUUCCGGGGGAAGUAUGGUUGCAAAGCUGAAACUUAAAGGAAUUGACGGAAGGGCACCACCAGGAGUGGAGCCUGUGGCUCAAUUUGACUCAACACGGGAAAACUUACCAGGUCCAGACAUAGUAAGGAUUGACAGGUUGAGAGCCCUUUCUUGAUUCUAUGGGUGGUGGUGCAUGGGC
rnacentral:rRNA from 1 species